rnacentral:rRNA from 1 species
GACGAACGCUGGCGGCAUGCCUAAUACAUGCAAGUCGAACGAUGAUAUCACUGCUUGCAGUGAUUGAUUAGUGGCGAACGGGUGAGUAACACGUGAGGAACUUGCCCAUGAGCGGGGGACAACAUUCGGAAACGGAUGCUAAUACCCCAUAGGCGGAUUGGUCGCAUGACGAAUUCAUUAAAGGUGGCUUUGCUACCACUCAUGGAUAGCCUCGCGGCGUAUUAGCUAGUUGGUAAGGUAAUGGCUUACCAAGGCAGUGAUACAUAGCCGACCUGAGAGGGUGGUCGGCCACACUGGGACUGAGACACGGCCCAGACUCCUACGGGAGGCAGCAGUAGGGAAUCUUCGGCAAUGGGGGCAACCCUGACCGAGCAACGCCGCGUGAGUGAAGAAGGUUUUCGGAUCGUAAAGCUCUGUUGUAAGUCAAGAACGAGUGUGAGAGUGGAAAGUUCACACUGUGACGGUAGCUUACCAGAAAGGGACGGCUAACUACGUGCCAGCAGCCGCGGUAAUACGUAGGUCCCGAGCGUUGUCCGGAUUUAUUGGGCGUAAAGCGAGCGCAGGCGGUUUGAUAAGUCUGAAGUUAAAGGCUGUGGCUCAACCAUAGUUCGCUUUGGAAACUGUCAAACUUGAGUGCAGAAGGGGAGAGUGGAAUUCCAUGUGUAGCGGUGAAAUGCGUAGAUAUAUGGAGGAACACCGGUGGCGAAAGCGGCUCUCUGGUCUGUAACUGACGCUGAGGCUCGAAAGCGUGGGGAGCGAACAGGAUUAGAUACCCUGGUAGUCCACGCUGUAAACGAUGAGUGCUAGGUAUUGGAUCCUUUCCGGGAUUCAGUGCCGCAGCUAACGCAUUAAGCACUCCGCCUGGGGAGUACGACCGCAAGGUUGAAACUCAAAGGAAUUGACGGGGGCCCGCACAAGCGGUGGAGCAUGUGGUUUAAUUCGAAGCAACGCGAAGAACCUUACCAGGUCUUGACAUCCCGAUGCUAUUUCUAGAGAUAGAAAGUUACUUCGGUACAUCGGUGACAGGUGGUGCAUGGUUGUCGUCAGCUCGUGUCGUGAGAUGCUGGGUUAAGUCCCGCAACGAGCGCAACCCCUAUUGUUAGUUGCCAUCAUUCAGUUGGGCACUCUAGCGAGACUGCCGGUAAUAAACCGGAGGAAGGUAGGGAUGACGUCAAAUCAUCAUGCCCCUUAUGACCUGGGCUACACACGUGCUACAAUGGCUGGUACAACGAGUCGCAAGCCGGUGACGGCAAGCUAAUCUCUGAAAGCCAGUCUCAGUUCGGAUUGUAGGCUGCAACUCGCCUACAUGAAGUCGGAAUCGCUAGUAAUCGCGGAUCAGCACGCCGCGGUGAAUACGUUCCCGGGCCU